AGUGAACGCUGGCGGUAGGCCUAACACAUGCAAGUCGAACGGCAGCACCGUAAGAGCUUGCUCUUACGGGUGGCGAGUGGCGGACGGGUGAGGAAUACAUCGGACUCUACUUUUUCGCGGGGGAUAACGUAGGGAAAGUUACGCUAAUACCGCAUAUGACCUACGGGUGAAAGCAGGGGAUCUUCGGACCUUGCGGGAUUGAAUGAGCCGAUGUCGGUUUAGCUAGUUGGCGGGGUAAAGGCACAACAAGGCGACGAUCCGUAGCUGGUCUGAGAGGGAGGACAACCACCCUGGAACAGAGGCAGGGUCCACACACCUAGGGGGGGCAGCAGUGGGGAAUAUUGCGCGAUGGGGGAAAGGCUGAUCCAGCGAUACCGCGUAGGUGAUGAAGGCCUUCGGGUUGUAAAACGCUUUUGUUGGGAAGGAAAAGCAGUAGGUUAAUACCCCGCGGUUCUGACGGUACCCGAAGAAUAAGCACCGGCUAACUUCGUG
rnacentral:rRNA from 1 species